GUUCAACAUGACAAAUGUAACAAAUACCAGUAUAUCUCUGUCGUGGUCACCACCAAGUGAAACCAGAGGAAGUAUAAUUGGAUACAGUUUGAACGUCAGCAGUGGACCAAAUGAUCAGGACUUCCAACUACUUCUAAUUUGUAGUACUUGCAGUUAUAUACAAGAAACGUUGGAAGCUGACGUUGGAAUGAACAUAUCUCUGAACACAAA